AGGUACACAGUGAGAUUUGCUUAACAAUUAUGUUUAUUUAAUUUAUUUUAAAAUUAAUUUUAAAAUCCUUUUUGUGCAAAUUCAUUUUUGAAAUUGUUUACUUCUUUUUCGAAUGGUUCCGUUCACAUUUGUUGUUCAUGUGAGAUGUUAUAUUUACCGGUUACUGCAUUAUAUUUACCACAAUUGCAAGAUGUUUGUUUAGGAAUUACUACUGGUUUGUUUAUCUGGAAUGUUGUGUGGGAGUCCAUCAGGAAUUGCUGGUCUGCAGUAAAUUUGUCAGGCUAGGUGAUGAACAUCAAUGAAUCAGAAAAUGUUUUGCAUGGGUGGUGAAUGUUCUGACAGUUUUAACAGUUGUGAUGUGGUGUAUUUCACUUCCACGCAUCAUGUAGAAGUUGGUGACCUGAUUCAAUGAACAUGGAAAAAUCACCUUCGCCCACGUUGACGAUGAUACCUGUACCGAAGUGCUGGAAACUAAAAUUAAAUUUUCUUUACAAUUUGGUUUCAGGCUAUCUUUAUAAUUUUUUAAUAGUUUUGCAUUUAUUGAUGAGUCCGCAAGCUCUUAGCUGAUUUCCUCCUUUAGAUACCGCCUGUCGACGAUUUGACAGCCUCACACAAUUAAAGAACGUAUGCCAAGAAGCCAAAGUGAGCUCUUCCGGGCAGAAAAAUGACGGCGUAUCUAUUUAAUUGAAAAUAGGCGCAAGAUAACGCACAAUUGGCGUCCUUGUCUCAAUGGAGAAAUUUUGCCGUGGAACUUAUAACCGAAAUACCAUUGCAGCUGUUCAAAAAAAGAAAAGUGUAUUAUCAUACCGAUGUUGACUAGCUAACAAUCCAG